rnacentral:snRNA from 2 species
GUACCUUUCUCGGCCUUUUGGCUAAGACCAAGUAUAGUAUCUAUUCUUAUCAGUUUAAUAUCUGAUAUGUGGACCAUGUGCCCAUUUUGAUAUUAAAUUUAUUUUUUGGAAUGGUCCACUACAAUGGCUUGCCAUUGGGAUCCUUGUUGCACUAUAACCUUGGCUUGGCGCACGCCAA